rnacentral:rRNA from 1 species
AAUGGACGGUACAAAGAGCUGCAAGACCGCGAGGUGGAGCUAAUCUCAUAAAACCGUUCUCAGUUCGGAUUGUAGGCUGCAACUCGCCUACAUGAAGCUGGAAUCGCUAGUAAUCGCGGAUCAGCAUGCCGCGGUGAAUACGUUCCCGGGCCUUGUACACACCGCCCGUCACACCACGAGAGUUUGUAACACCCGAAGUCGGUGGGGUAACCUUUUUGGAGCCAGCCGCCUAAGGUGGGACAGAUGAUUGGGGUGAAGUCGUAACAAGGUAGCCGUAUCGGAAGGUGCGGUU